rnacentral:rRNA from 1 species
GAUGAACGCUGGCUACAGGCUUAACACAUGCAAGUCGAGGGGAAACGGCAUCGAAAGCUUGCUUUUGAUGGGCGUCGACCGGCGCACGGGUGAGUAACGCGUAUCCAACCUGCCCAUCACUUGGGAAUAACCUUGCGAAAGUAAGACUAAUGCCCAAUGACAUCCCACGAAGGCAUCCGAAUGGGAUUAAAGAUUUAUCGGUGAUGGAUGGGGAUGCGUCUGAUUAGCUUGUUGGCGGGGUGACGGCCCACCAAGGCAACGAUCAGUAGGGGUUCUGAGAGGAAGGUCCCCCACAUUGGAACUGAGACACGGUCCAAACUCCUACGGGAGGCAGCAGUGAGGAAUAUUGGUCAAUGGGCGAGAGCCUGAACCAGCCAAGUAGCGUGCAGGAUGACGGCCCUAUGGGUUGUAAACUGCUUUUAUAAGGGAAUAAAGUGGGUCACGUGUGACUUUUUGCAUGUACCUUAUGAAUAAGGACCGGCUAAUUCCGUG